GACGAACGCUGGCGGCGUGCCUAACACAUGCAAGUCGAACGGAGUUGCUCCUUCGGGGGGAUCAGUGGCGGACGGGUGAGUAACGCGUGAGCAACCUGCCCUUAUGUGGGGGACAACGUUUGGAAACGAACGCUAAUACCGCAUAACGUUACGAGAUCGCAUGUUCUUGUAACCAAAGAUUUAUUGCGUAAGGAUGGGCUCGCGUUGGAUUAGGUAGUUGGUGAGGUAACGGCCCACCAAGCCUACGAUCCAUAGCCGGACUGAGAGGUUGAACGGCCACAUUGGAACUGAGACACGGUCCAAACUCCUACGGGAGGCAGCAGUGGGGAAUAUUGCACAAUGGGCGAAAGCCUGAUGCAGCAACGCCGCGUGAGCGAUGAAGGCCUUCGGGUCGUAAAGCUCUGUCCUCAAGGAAGAUAAUGACGGUACUUGAGGAGGAAGCCCCGGCUAACUACGUG
rnacentral:rRNA from 1 species